rnacentral:piRNA from 1 species
UGGGCUCCCGGAAAGAUCUCUAAGGUCUCUGU